CCUACGGGAGGCAGCAGUGGGGAAUUUUGGACAAUGGGCGAAAGCCUGAUCCAGCAAUGCCGCGUGAGUGAAGAAGGCCUUCGGGUUGUAAAGCUCUUUUGUCAGGGGAGAAACGGUGAGGGCUAAUAUCCCUUGCUAAUGACGGUACCUGAAGAAUAAGCACCGGCUAACUACGUGCCAGCAGCCGCGGUAAUACGUAGGGUGCAAGCGUUAAUCGGAAUUACUGGGCGUAAAGCGUGCGCAGGCGGUUUUGUAAGUCUGUCGUGAAAUCCCCGGGCUCAACCUGGGAAUUGCGAUGGAGACUGCAAGGCUAGAAUCUGGCAGAGGGGGGUAGAAUUCCACGUGUAGCAGUGAAAUGCGUAGAGAUGUGGAGGAACACCGAUGGCGAAGGCAGCCCCCUGGGUCAAGAUUGACGCUCAUGCACGAAAGCGUGGGGAGCAAACAGGAUUAGAUACCCUGGUAGUCCACGCCCUAAACGAUGUCUACUAGUUGUCGGGUUUUAAUUAACUUGGUAACGCAGCUAACGCGUGAAGUAGACCGCCUGGGGAGUACGGUCGCAAGAUUAAAACUCAAAAGGAAUUGACGG
rnacentral:rRNA from 1 species